CCGUCAGUAGCCAGAGGUGGAAAUAUAAACUUUCCCUCCCCAAUUUCUGUCCAUGUUUUCAUCUGCGGAAACUCCUCCGUUCUCAAAACCCUAACCCGACGCCACCAUUCAUCCGAUCCAAUGAGUUCGAGAGGAGCCAGCGCGCUGCUAUCUCGAGCCAGCAGGAUUCGCUCGAAGCUUCAAACGGCGCUGGAAGCCACCGUUUUGGAGGUGGACGACGUGUCGUACCAGCACGCGGGCCACGCCGCCGUGAAGGGAAGUUCCGACAAAGAAACCCACUUCAACGUGAAGAUCGUAUCGCCCAAGUUCGAGGGCCAGAGCCUCGUCAAACGACACCGUCUCGUCUACGACCUCCUCGCCGAGGAGCUCCAGAGCGGCCUCCACGCCCUCUCUAUCGUCGCCAAAACGCUCCACGAAACAAACCCUAAUAAGUGACGCGUCGGGAGUGUCAAAGUUCGAGGCUUUUCCGCCGUUAAAGCUCCUUCCUCUGUCACAGCGACCCAUUCAGCUCAUCCACUCAUUUUCAUUCAAUUUUGCUGGGAGGAUGUCUCACUGGAUUUGAAGCUUAAAAGUAUCAACUAUAAAGAUGAUUGCAAAUCCUCAGAGAACAGCAAAUUGCAUUUCAUUGUUUGGAUUUUUAGUGGAAGUAAUUGAAUUAUGGGACAGAUAACAAUUAUAAUUACAAUAAUAUAAAAUUUCGACCUUGAUUUUACA